rnacentral:rRNA from 1 species
AACGAACGCUGGCGGCAGGCCUAACACAUGCAAGUCGAGCGGACCCUUCGGGGUUAGCGGCGGUCGGGUGAGUCACGCGUGGGAAUAUGCACUUCUAUACGGAAAUGUACUGGGUAACUGGGGGUAAUGUCGGAUAAGCUACGCGGAGGCCACAUUUAACUGGGUAGGGUAAGCACGCGUUGGAUUAGGUUGUUGGUGGGGUAAUGGCCUACCACGCCGUCGAUCCUUAGCUGGUUUGAGAGGAUGAUCAGCCACACUGAGACUGAGACACGGCCCAGACUCCUACACGAGGCAGCAGUGGCGAAUCUUGGACAAUGGGGUCAACCCUGAUCUAGCCAUGCCGCGUGAGUGAUGAAGUCGUUAGAGUUGUAAAGCUCGUUCAGCUGGGAAUAUAAUGACGGUACCAGCAGAAGAAGCCCCGGCUAACUCCGUG